rnacentral:lncRNA from 1 species
UUAUUCUAAAGUUGUCCCUAGUCGGAGUUCAUGUGAGGACACACAUGAAUAUUAGACUAGUAAAUGUAUUAGUUGAUGACUAUGUUCCACAAGUCAUGGACAUGGAGAUGUCAAACUAAUAAUGUGGGCACGUGUAGAGACAUGUGCUAGGAUUGACCCAACACGAGAGGUAGUUAUGUAGUUUUCUCUUUACAUAACGUGUACGCUUUGUCCUUAGACCUAAAAUUAUCACAUGCACUCAAGAUGUGGAUCAACUUACUUAGGAGUUGUCAAACGCUACUCCAUAACUGGGUAGUUAUAAAGGUAGCUUUCAGGUUUGUCAGGAAGCAUGCUGUGAGGCAUGGUCAGUCAAGAUGGAAUUUUCCCCUCUCUACUUGAAAGAGAUAUCUCUGGGCCCCUCGAGUGAUCGGACCUAGAAAUGCAUGGCCGUGCUGCGUAAGGUUAAGGGUUAACCUAGGAAGGGAUUUCGAAUCACAGGAUCAAAAAAGAGAGGUCGGCUUGGAGCUAGACCAAAUAUCGUGAGGCAAAGGGAAUAGCAUGUACGUGAUGUUUUGAUGGUUCAUCUGAUAUGAUUUUCGUGUGCGUAUAGGAGUUGGCAUGUCUUGCUAGAGGCUGCUACCAACUAUUGUCCAAGUAGGAGUACUUGCGUCAUGUCUAUACGUAUAUGAACCUUUAGGGUCGCACACUUAAGGGGCUGGAAGCCCAAUGAGGAUAUGAUCUGAAUUGGACCAGGUUUAGGAGUACUAAUGGGCCUCGAAUCCAGAGGCCCGUUAGGGACCCCUAUAUAUAUUGAGGGGUAGGGGCGGCUUGGGGUUAAUCUUUUUUGUCGAGCAGCAGCCGCACCUCCCAUGCCCUCACCUAGUUACACUCGCGGAUCAAGCAGUCCGGUUUGCGACCCUUCCUCCCCGCACGUGUGGAUACCUUGGAGGUGUUGCAUCUACAGCACUUGGAUGAGCCGUUGCACGAGGAGCCGUACACCUGACGUGGAGCACUUGGACGAGCCGCUGCAUGAGGAGCUGCACACUUGAUGUAGAGGUCCCGUGAUCCAUAAACAACAGUAUUCCAGGUUUACGCGUUAGAAAAAUUUUGUUUGCGCUAGUGUAGCCUACCUCGUAGUCCUUCAGUGGUAUCAGAGCCAUGGCUGUUAAUUUAUGGAUUCGGGAAAUGUGCAUAUGCAGAUAUGCGGUUUUUCAGAUUGAUCUAUGAUCUGGUUUCAUGUUCUUGCUGCAAUGGUCGUGUAAUGACAUACUCCUACCGGUCGGAAUUUCGCCAUUGGAAUUAAGUGAUACACGUAAUGCUAGUUGCAGCAAGCAAAGAUCAAUAUGAUCAGUCGAAUUGAAACCUAGGUUCAUACGCUAGGUGCAUAUGAUGUGCAGUAGUGGAUUGGAUCUACUAUCGGAUCGGAUCAUUUAUCGUGGCCAUGUUUUUCGGUAAAACGGACGUAACUUUUUGGUACAAUCUCGGAUCGAGGCUAAUUUUAUAUCAAAAUUCAUCUACAGAAAAAGUUACACAUGAAAUUGAACCGCUUUGCCAUUUUUGGCAAAAUUAGAUUUCCCAAAUUCAGUUUGAAAGAUGGAGUUUUUGGCCUUUUAAGUUUGGAUGUUAGAAAGCCUAACUCUAUUUUGCAGGAUUUUGUGAUUAGUAUGGCCCCUGUAUAUGUGAUGCAUGUGUGUAACUGAUUCGUGACCAGCGUGUCAUGCGUAUGGCAAUACGGCUGGAGCCAGAUGUAUUGUCAAAUUAAUGUAAUUAAUGGCCUGCGUGCUAAUUUGUGAUGAUCCAGGCAACUAUGUAUCCUUUUUACUAGCUGAUUAGAUGUAAUAGCGUGUACUAGUUCUUGAAGGACUCAUCACUAAGAGGAUAGAGCACAUGGAUCAAGGAGAUGGAGAUCAUCAUGGUGAACAGGUUCUAUGGAGAUGGAGAUGACCACUAGAAAUCAGGCCAUCCUGUGUCACAACUGUGUGAUGCUAUUCUUUUUAUUUUACUCCUACAUGUUGUGAUGUCAGAAGUAGAACGAUCCCUUGCAAAAUUUGAGUUACUUGCACCAUCCCAUGUCUUGUACAAUUGGUGGUGGGUCUAUGAACUUAGAGUACCACUAGUUUUUCUUGACUAGACGGGUUUGUAUCGGAUACUCACACGCAUAAGGGUUGGUUUGCUUAACAAGGUCAUCUUAACAGUUAAUGACCUUGGAGCAUGAAGGUUGGGCGCCGAGACAUGGAGAUGUCACCUAACAACAGGAGUCAUAUAUGAUAUGAUUAGCAAAUAGUUGCUUACCGAUCUACCUUGUCUGCUAGCGGUGAUGCUAAAGCUAACUAGUAGACUUGUUAGUUGUGGAUCUUGAAUCACUAAGUAUCAUAGAGGGAUAUUGAUUUUAGUGGGAGUAGAUUCUGUUAAAAGUUUAAUGUGAUUUGCUCUAUCAUGGAUGCUUUUGUCUAAGUAUUUUGCAUUACUAAUUUGUUGUAGAUAAAUGGCACAUAGCAACACCACAUCGUUUGCUUUGCGUUCAAUCCUUGAGAAGGACAAGUUGAAUGGGACAAACUAUAUGAAUUGGAUCCAUAACCUGAAAAUUGUUCUCAGGGCUGAGAAAAAAGAAGAUGUUCUGGACACCCUAUUACCAGAAGAACCUGCUGAUGAUGCACCUGUUGCCGUUAAGAAUGCUUACAAGAAGCAUGUGAUGCUAAUCUCGAAGGAACCUGCCUUAUGCUUGCUUGCAUGGAACCUGAGCUGCAGAUGCAGUUUGAAACAAACCAUGAGGCAUACGAUAUGAUCGUGGUGCUUAGAGAAAUGUUCCAAACACAGGCUAGGAUUGAAAGGUUCAAUGUAUCUAAGGCUUUUGUGGAGAGCAAGCUAGCAGAAGGCGCAGCAGUAGGACCACACGUAAUCAAGAUGGUUGGUUACACUCAACGGCUGGAGAAGCUGGGCUUCCCACUGGGUCAAGAGUUGGCCACUGAUUUCAUUCUUUCGUCUCUUCCAUUUAGCUAUGAGAACUUCAUCUCGAACUACCAUAUGCAUGGGGUGGAGAAGAGUUUGAAUGAACUGUGUGGCAUGCUUAAAACAGCAGAGAGUGACAUUAAGAAAAGUGCUGGUAGCAGCCAUGUGAUGGCAAUACAGAACAAGCCUAGCUUUAAGAAGAAGGGCGAUUCUUGGAAGAAUAAGCCUGUGAUCUCCAAGCCAAACCCAGCGCCCAAGGUUAAAGCUGGACCUGCUCUAGACAAAGAGUGCAUUUAUUGUCACGAACUUGGUCGCUGGAAGAGAAAUUGCAAGCAGUAACUAGCUUCGUUGAAGAAUGGCAGAAGUAAGAGUACUUCCACCUCAGGUGCUCUUGUUAUCAAUGUUAUAGAUAACAUAUUUCUCACAGAUACAAUUAUUAAUUCUUGGGUAUUUGAUACCGGAUCGGUUGCUCAUAUUUGCAAUUCGAUGUAGGGACUGAUAAGAAGUAGAAGCGUGGAAAGAGGAGAAGUUGAUUUCUGCGUGGGCAAUAAUGCUAGAGUUGCUGCGUUGACUGUCGGGAUGAUGCAACUCCACCUCCCGUCAGGAUUUAUUAUUGAGUUGAAUAAUUGUUAUUUCAUUACUAGUUUAAGUUAAAACAUUAUGUCUCCUUCAUGCUUGAUGAAGGAUGAUUAUUCAUUUUCGAGUGAAAACAAUGGUUGUGUGAUCUCUAAGAAUAAUAUGUUUAUGGCUUUUUCACCCAUUGUGAAUGGAUUGUUUGUUUUAAGUCUUGAUGAUCCACUUGUCUAUAAUAUAAGUGCUAAAAGGCCUCGGCCUACUGAUUUGGGUCCUACCUACAUGUGGCAUUGUCGUUUGGGUCAUAUAAGUGAAAUGCGCAUGAAGAAGCUCCAUUCUGAUGGACUUUUAACUUUGUUUGAUUUUGAAUCAUAUGAGACAUGUGAUGCUAGCUUGCUAGGCAAGAUGACCAAGGCGCCUUUCAUAGGUUUUCCUGAGAGAGCAUUAGACUUGUUGGAACUCGUACAUACCGAUGUAUGCGGACCAAUGAGCGCAACAACUAGAGGAGGGUUCCGAUAUGAAACUUUCACUGAUGAUUCUAGUAGAUAUGGCUAUGUCUACUUGAUGAGGCACAAGUCCAAAACCUUUGAAAAGUUCAAGGAAUUUCAAAAUGAAGUUGAAAAUCAGCGUGGCAAGAAAAUUAAGGCCUUACGAUCUGAUCGCAGAGGCGAGUAUUUAAGCCACGAGUUUAGCAAUCAUUUGAAGAGUUGCAGAAUUGUUCCACAGCUUACGCCGCCUGGAACACCUUAGAGAAACGGUGUAUCCGAGCGACGUAAUCAAACCUUGUUGGACAUGGUCGAUCAAUGAUGAGCCAGUCGGACCUACCGUUAUCAUUUUGGGGAUACGCUCUAGAAACAGCAGCUUUCACACUUAAUAGGGUACCAUCUAAAUCCGUAGUUAAGACACCAUAUGAAAUGUCGAUUGGGAAGACUCCCAGUUUGUCGUUUCUAAAGAUUUGGGGAUGUGAAGUGUUUGUCAAGCGACUUCAGUCGGACAAGAUAACACCCAAGCGACUUUAGGAUAUUAAUUCUACAACCGACUAGAGGGCAAAGUGUUUGUCACUCGGAAUGGUGUUUUCCUAGAGAAAGAGUUUCUCAAAGGGGAGAAGAAUGGAAAGAUAGUGCGUCUUGAAAAAGUUCGGGAUGAGCCAAUCAGGCAAGAAUCAAUGAGUGAUGCUAACAUAGCUAAACAAGUUGAGAUACCCACGGUAAGAGAGGCACCACCAUAACCACGAAGGUCGGCAAGGCUCCGCGAAAUGCGGGAAAUAUUAUUGUUGGACAAUGAUGAGCCUGCGACAUAUGCAGAAGCAAUGAUGGACCCAGACUCUGAUAAAUGGCAGAAUGCCAUGCAAUCCAAAAUAGAGUCCAUGGGAGACAAUCAAGUUUGGAACUUGGUUGACCCACUUGAUGGUGUUAAAGCCAUGGAGUGCAAGUGGAUCUAUAAGAAGAAAAAAGACAUGGAUGGAAAUGUUCACAUCUAUAAAGCACGACUUGUCGCAAAAGGUUUUUGACAAGUUCGAGGAGUUGACUACGACGAGACCUUCUUGCCCGUAGUGAUGCUUAAAUCUAUUCGAAUUAUUCUAGCUAUAGUUGCAUAUUUCGAUUAUGAGAUAUGGCAGAUGGAUGUCAAGAUAGCUUUCCUGAAUUGAAAUCUAACUGAAGACGUGUAUAUGAUGCAGCCUGAGGGUUUUGUCAAUCCGAACAAUGCUGGAAAGGUAUGCAAACUUCACACAUCCAUUUCUGGGUUGAAGCAAGCAUCCAGGAGUUGGAACAUUCGUUUUGGUGAAGUGGUCAAAGGGUUCGGCUUGAUUAAGAAUGGAGAAGAGGCUUGUGUUUACAAGAAGGUUAGUGGGAGCUCUGUAGUAUUUCUGAUCUUAUAUGUGGAUGACAUAUUACAGAUUGGAAACAACAUUCCUAUGCUUGAGUUUGUCAAGACCUCACUGAAAAAUAGUUUUUCGAUGAAGGACUUAGGGGAAGGCUUAUAGGAUUAAGCCAAGAUACUUACAUUGACAAAGUGUUGAAAUAGUUCAGCAUGGAAGAGGCAAGGAAAGGGUUCUUGCCUAUGUGACAUGGCAUACACCUUAGCAAGACUCACUGUCCUUCGACAACUGAUGAGCGGGAUCGCAUGAGUAGAGUGCCAUAUGCUUCGGCUAUCGGAUCUAUCAUGUAUACAAUGAUAAGUACCCGCCCAUAUUUUCAUAUGCUCUAAGUAUGACAAGGAGACACCAGUCUGAUCUGGGUGAGAGUCACUGGACGGCAGUGAAAAACAUUAUUAAGUACUUCAGAAGGACUAAAGUUGUGUUCCUCGUCUAUGGAGGUGAGAAGGAGCUCAUUGUAACAGGUUACACCGGUGCUAGUUUCCAAUCGGACAAAGACGAUUCAAAGUCACAAUCAGGAUUGGUGUUUACAAUAAAUGGUAGAGCUAUUAGCUAGAAGAGUUCCAAGCAAGAGAUAAUGGUUGAUUCUACGAUAGAAGCUGAGUACAUCGCGGCUUCAGCAGCCACAAAGGAGGGUGUUUGGAUAAGGAAUUUCCUUAUUGAGCUUGGUGUGUUCCCGAAUGCGUCCAGCCCAUCGAAUCUCUACUGUGAUAACAAUGGGGCUAUUGUGCGAGCAAAGGAGCCAAGGAAUCACCAGAAGAACAAACACAUAAUAUGGUGAUUUCAUCUCAUUUGAGACUUCGUUAACCAGGGUAAGAUCAAGAUAUGCAAAAUACGCACAGAUUUGAAUAUUUCUGAUCCUUUGACAAAGCCUCUCCUGCAAUCUAAGCAUGAUGCGGACACAAGAGCCUAGUUAGAGUUCAUGUGAGGACACACAUGAAUAUUAGACUAUUACAUGUAUUAGUUGAUGACUAGGUUUCACAAGUCAUGGACAUGGAGAUGUCAAACUAAUAAUGUGGGCACGUGUAGAGACAUGUGCUAGGACUGACCCAACACGAGACGUAGUUACAUAGUUCUCUCUUUACACAAUGUGUACGCUUUGUC